AGCGAACGCUGGCGGCAGGCUUAACACAUGCAAGUCGAACGCCCCGCAAGGGGAGUGGCAGACGGGUGAGUAACACGUGGGAACGUACCCUUUGGUUCGGAAUAACUUGGGGAAACUCAAGCUAAUACCGGAUAAGCCCUUAUGGGGAAAGGUUUACUGCCGAAGGAUCGGCGCGCGUCGGAUUAGCUAGUGGGUGAGGUAAUGGCUAACCAAGGCGACGAUCAGUAGCUGGUCUGAGAGGAUGAUCAGCCACACUGGGACUGAGACACGGCCCAGACUCAUACGGGAGGCAGCAGUGGGGAAUAUUGGACAAUGGGGGCAACCCUGAUCCAGCCAUGCCGCGUGAGUGAUGAAGGCCUUAGGGUUGUAAAGCUCUUUUACCCGGGACGAUAAUGACUGUACCGGGAGAAUAAGCCCCGGCUAACUUCGUGCCAGCAGCCGCCGUAA
rnacentral:rRNA from 1 species